UUGAACGCUGGCGGCAGGCCUCACACAUGCAAGUCGAGCGGAUGAAGGGAGCUUGCUCCUGGCUUCAGCGGCGGACGGGUGAGUAAUGCCUAGGAAUCUGCCUGGUAGUGGGGGAUAACGUCCGGAAACGGGCGCUAAUACCGCAUACGUCCUGAGGGAGAAAGUGGGGGAUCUUCGGACCUCACGCUAUCAGAUGAGCCUAGGUCGGAUUAGCUAGUUGGUGGGGUAAAGGCCUACCAAGGCGACGAUCCGUAACUGGUCUGAGAGGAUGAUCAGUCACACUGGAACUGAGACACGGUCCAGACUCCUACGGGAGGCAGCAGUGGGGAAUAUUGGACAAUGGGCGAAAGCCUGAUCCAGCCAUGCCGCGUGUGUGAAGAAGGUCUUCGGAUUGUAAAGCACUUUAAGUUGGGAGGAAGGGCAGUAAGUUAAUACCUUGCUGUUUUGACGUUACCAACAGAAUAAGCACCGGCUAGCUUCGUG
rnacentral:rRNA from 1 species